GACGAACGCUGGCGGCGUGCCUAAUACAUGCAAGUCGAACGCAGUGGGGACGGGUGAGUAACACGUGGGUAACCUCCCAUCAGAGGGGAUAACAAGUGGAAACCGGUGCUAAACCGAGACUGAUGGAUGGACGCGCGGUGCAUUAGCUAGUUGGUGCGGUACCGGCUCACCAAGGCAACGAUGCAUAGCCGACCUGAGAGGUUGAUCGGCCACACUGGGACUGAUCCACGGCCCAGACUCCUACGGGAGGCAGCAGUAGGGAAUCUUCGGCAAUUGACGAAAGUCUGACCGAGCAACGCCGCGUGAGUGAAGAAGGUUUUCGGAUCGUAAAACUCUGUUGUUAGAGAAGCGGUAUCUAACCAGAAAGCCACGGCUAACUACGUGCCAGCAGCCGCGGUAAUUC
rnacentral:rRNA from 1 species